GCCUCUGUAGCUCAAUGGAAGAGCAGUUCCGUCCUAAGGAAAGGGUUGGGGGUUCGAGUCCCUCCAGGGGCAC
rnacentral:tRNA from 7 species